rnacentral:rRNA from 1 species
UGCAAGUCGAGCGGUAGAGAGAAGCUUGCUUCUCUUGAGAGCGGCGGACGGGUGAGUAAUGCCUAGGAAUCUGCCUGGUAGUGGGGGAUAACGUCCGGAAACGGACGCUAAUACCGCAUACGUCCUACGGGAGAAAGCAGGGGACCUUCGGGCCUUGCGCUAUCAGAUGAGCCUAGGUCGGAUUAGCUAGUUGGUGAGGUAAUGGCUCACCAAGGCGACGAUCCGUAACUGGUCUGAGAGGAUGAUCAGUCACACUGGAACUGAGACACGGUCCAGACUCCUACGGGAGGCAGCAGUGGGGAAUAUUGGACAAUGGGCGAAAGCCUGAUCCAGCCAUGCCGCGUGUGUGAAGAAGGUCUUCGGAUUGUAAAGCACUUUAAGUUGGGAGGAAGGGUUGUAGAUUAAUACUCUGCAAUUUUGACGUUACCGACAGAAUAAGCACCGGCUAACUCUGUGCCAGCAGCCGCGGUAAUACAGAGGGUGCAAGCGUUAAUCGGAAUUACUGGGCGUAAAGCGCGCGUAGGUGGUUUGUUAAGUUGGAUGUGAAAGCCCCGGGCUCAACCUGGGAACUGCAUUCAAAACUGACAAGCUAGAGUAUGGUAGAGGGUGGUGGAAUUUCCUGUGUAGCGGUGAAAUGCGUAGAUAUAGGAAGGAACACCAGUGGCGAAGGCGACCACCUGGAA